rfam:Chelonia mydas contig144422, whole genome shotgun sequence.
GGUAGUGUAGCCAAGUGGUCUAAGGCACUGGAUUAAGGUUCCAGUCUCUUUGGAGGCGUGGGUUCAAAUCUCACCACUGUCA